rnacentral:rRNA from 1 species
GUAGGGAAUAUUGGGCAAUGGAUGCAAGUCUGACCCAGCCAUCCCGCGUGCCGGAAGAAGGCCCUCAGGGUUGUAAACGGCUUUUGACGGUGAAGAAUCGACAGGAUGCGUCCUGUUUUGACGGUAGCCGUUGAAUAAGCACCGGCUAACUCCGUGCCAGCAGCCGCGGUAAUACGGAGGGUGCGAGCGUUGUCCGGAUUUAUUGGGUUUAAAGGGUGCGUAGGCUGGAAGGUCCGUCAGCGGUGAAAAGCUGUCGCUUAACGAUAGUCUUGCCGCAGAUACUUCCUUUCUUGGAUGAGGAGGAGGCCACUGGAACGGAUGGUGUAGCGGUGAAAUGCAUAGACAUCAUCCAGAACACCGAUUGCGAAGGCAGGUGGCUGUACCUUAAUCGACGCUGAUGCACGAAAGCAUGGGGAGCAAACAGGAUUAGAUACCCCUGUAGUCC